AUUUGUUUCAGUUUGAAAAUUCAUCUAUAAAUAAAUACCUGCCUUUUAUUUCCCUUCUAAAAAUUUUAUGCAGCAACAUAGCAUUAUAUACCAAGAAACUAUAUUCUCUCUAUAUACAAUGUUUCAGAUGAGGCUGCAGCCAAAUUCAGUUGUAUUGAAAUACAUAAGUCUGAUUGCAUGCCUACUAAAUUGGGCAUGGGAUUACCUUCUUCCCCAGUCCUCCUCCUUUCAGCCUCGUGAAAUAGUUGAAUUACCAGACUACGUUGAUGACCUUGCCGUAACGCGUUACGAAAAUAAUAACAAUGCAAAGUGUGGAGAUUCAUCAACAGAGUGUGCUAUUUGCUUAUACAGAAUUGGUGAAGGGGAUGAAGUUAAAGAGCUGGGAUGCAACCAUCUUUAUCAUAGAGUUUGCUUAGAUCGGUGGGUACGACAUGGACACAGGACAUGUCCACUCUGCCGGGAAAACUUAAAGCCACCGGUACCGCAACUGGCAUGGAUACUUCCACCAGCACGAGAAGAUGAUACUAAUUAACAUAUGAUCAACCAGAUAAAGUUCGGAAAAAAGCUGUUUUCAAAUGUUUUAACAUCCGUGUCUAUCGUUCAGUCUAAAUUGAUAUGUAUUUUCAAUAUUAUUCAACAUUCCAUAUGCAAAAAUGCGUCAAAUCAGUGAGUGUAAAGAUGUUGGAUUAAGCUUGAGAAUAUGUUGUCAUCACAGGAAUAUAUAUAUAUAUUGCUUAUGUCACUGGUAAGUAUACUUUAUACGUUUAUAAAUAUUCAUAAUUAUUGAUUAUUUGAGUAGUUUUCUACUCAUUCAUUUAUACAUUGUGUUUCUAGGUUAAAACCUCAAUUUGAAGGGAUAAAAAAGCAAAAGGAAGUGAUUUGGAGCGUUAAGUGAACAAAAAGAUGGUGUUGGAUGAAUGCUCGAAAGUUUUGGGACUCAAUAGGACGCUAGUAAAAGGUAAUUGGAAGAUUUCAUGUAUUGUGGGAAAAAAUGAAUGAAAUCUGAAGGAUCAGUUGAAUAUGUUUAAAAGAUAGUGGAAAAUAAUUGAAGAGAUUCAAAUUGAAGGACUAAUUUGGAGGACAUUAGAAGUUCAAGGACUAAAAUGAAAAAAACUAAAACGUGACAUCUCAUCCUUUCAGCAAUAUAAUUCAAAGAACUUUCGCGAGGAAUGGAAAAAGGCUCAAAGAGUUGUUAAUAAAGUACUUGAAUCAUGGAAUCAAUAAGGGAUUACAAGGAAUUAUGGAAUCAAUAAGAGUUUGAAACUCACUAUUUCUACUCCAUGUUGAUUGUCUCAUUAGGGAAAAUGAGAUGGAUAUUAUUGUCGGAAAAUUAGUUUAAUUAGUUGGUUUGAUCAAUUACUUAAGUAGGUCCCAUUA
rnacentral:lncRNA from 1 species